GGCGCUAGACCCGAAAACUCAACAGCUGUCGCUCCCGUAAUAACGUAACGAAAGUCGAGUUUAGCGGAGAUAAUAGCAAUACAUAUAUACAUCACUGGUACUGGCCUUUAGGAAAGCUACUUGGAAGAAACCAUAAACUUGGAAUCGAGUUCAACACAUGAAGUGAUACAUAGCCAGCAUGCUUCGAGGAAGAAACAGCUUAGUAAUAGCUGGCUUUGUGGGAUGUAUAGGCCUUGCUCUCUACCCCAUUGUGUUCUCGCCAAUGAUGAAUUCAUCCUCAUGGAAGCAAGUACAACGGGAGACACGAAAAGGAGUGAAUCAGAAAGAUAUACAGCCUGGAGGUAUGAGGGUAUGGAGUGACCCGUUCAAACCUCGAGCUGAUGCUAAAUGAAAUCAUGAAAUCCUGUGGAUAAUGUAA